rnacentral:rRNA from 1 species
GACGAACGCUGGCGGCGUGCUUAACACAUGCAAGUCGAACGAUGAAGCCUUCGGGUGGAUUAGUGGCGAACGGGUGAGUAACACGUGGGUGAUCUGCCCUGCACUUUGGGAUAAGCCUGGGAAACUGGGUCUAAUACCGAAUAUGAUCACGAACUUCAUGGUUUGUGGUGGAAAGCUUUUGCGGUGUGGGAUGGGCCCGCGGCCUAUCAGCUUGUUGGUGGGGUAAUGGCCUAACAAGGCGACGACGGGUAGCCGGCCCGGGAGGGUGACCGGCCAAACUGGGACCGAGAUACGGGCCAGACUCCUAAGGGAGGGAGGAGGGGGGAAUAUUGGAAAAAGGGCGGAAGGCUGAUGGAGCGGAGGCGGGUGAGGGAUGGCGGGCUUCGGGUUGUAAACCUCUUUCAGCAGGGACGAAGCGAAAGUGACGGUACCUGCAGAAGAAGGACCGGCCAACUACGUGCCAGCCGCCGCAGUAACAC